rnacentral:rRNA from 1 species
AUGUUGACCUCGGAUCAGGUAGGGAUACCCGCUGAACUUAAGCAUAUCAAUAAGCGGAGGA